rfam:Streptomyces incarnatus strain NRRL 8089 sequence.
GGUCAUGAGCGUCAGCACCAAGCCCUGGCUGGCUGACCGGCAACCCUCGCAUCGCGGUGGGGUGCCCCAGGUGACGACCGGACCGGAAUGACGUUUUCGGUAAGCGCGAGGG